rnacentral:tRNA from 1 species
UGGGCUGUAGCUCAGUGGCAAAGCACUAGUCUAGUAAGUAUGAUGUCCUGGGUUCAAUCCCCAGUACCCAA